rnacentral:tRNA from 1 species
ACCUAUUUAGUAUAAGCAAGUACAAAAAGUUUCCAACUUUGAAGUUCGUUCGAAAUAGGUA